UGGGAGUUGAGCUGCAGUCUCAGCAUUGAACUGCAAAGUACACUGUAAUUGUGGUGUGUCAAAAAAGAUUCCUUCGUGCAAAAAAGUUCUAGCUUUUUUAACCUCUUUUACUGGCUUUUUCCUUUGAAAGGUGAAUCGGAACAGUGACGAUCAGCCCUAUUCUGUUUUCACCACUAAAUUCAUUCUGGAACACAAAUAAGUCAUUUCCAUUUAUGAAAUGUAAAAUUCUUUAUGAAAUCUAAACUCCAUUUUGACCAAAGUGUCAUAUACUAUAUAUUUUUGAAGUUAUAUGAUUUCAACAUCAGUUGGUUACUCAAGCUCACCUAGUGCCUUGAAACCAGGUUGAUGAUGUAUGAGAUUAUUGUACUUUAUGGUGUGCCUAGAUGCUUUAUUUAGCCAAUACCGAUUCAGAAAAUUGGAAUACCAACUUAUAUCACUCCAUGAUCCUUAACUAGUUUGAUUUAGUGGAAGAGACAGGUGAUUAUGUUUCUAUGAUAUAUGUUAAAACUUCUUGACUGAACAGAGUUAUUGCCCUUACUAAUGCAGGAGGCAGG
rnacentral:misc_RNA from 1 species